rnacentral:rRNA from 1 species
CUCCCGGAUGUUAGCGGCGGACGGGUGAGUAACACGUGGGUAACCUGCCUGUAAGACUGGGAUAACUCCGGGAAACCGGAGCUAAUACCGGAUAGUUCCUUGAACCGCAUGGUUCAAGGAUGAAAGACGGUUUCGGCUGUCACUUACAGAUGGACCCGCGGCGCAUUAGCUAGUUGGUGGGGUAAUGGCUCACCAAGGCGACGAUGCGUAGCCGACCUGAGAGGGUGAUCGGCCACACUGGGACUGAGACACGGCCCAGACUCCUACGGGAGGCAGCAGUAGGGAAUCUUCCGCAAUGGACGAAAGUCUGACGGAGCAACGCCGCGUGAGUGAUGAAGGUUUUCGGAUCGUAAAGCUCUGUUGUUAGGGAAGAACAAGUGCGAGAGUAACUGCUCGCACCUUGACGGUACCUAACCAGAAAGCCACGGCUAACUACGUGCCAGCAGCCGCGGUAAUACGUAGGUGGCAAGCGUUGUCCGGAAUUAUUGGGCGUAAAGGGCUCGCAGGCGGUUUCUUAAGUCUGAUGUGAAAGCCCCCGGCUCAACCGGGGAGGGUCAUUGGAAACUGGGAAACUUGAGUGCAGAAGAGGAGAGUGGAAUUCCACGUGUAGCGGUGAAAUG